AGCGGGUCUGAGAGGAUGAUCCGCCACACUGGGACUGAGACACGGCCCAGACUCCUACGGGAGGCAGCAGUGGGGAAUAUUGGACAAUGGGCGCAAGCCUGAUCCAGCCAUGCCGCGUGUGUGAAGAAGGCCUUAUGGUUGUAAAGCACUUUAAGCGAGGAGGAGGCUACUUUAGAUAAUACCUAGAGAUAGUGGACGUUACUCGCAGAAUAAGCACCGGCUAACUCUGUGCCAGCAGCCGCGGUAAUACAGAGGGUGCAAGCGUUAAUCGGAUUUACUGGGCGUAAAGCGCGCGUAGGCGGCUAAUUAAGUCAAAUGUGAAAUCCCCGAGCUUAACUUGGGAAUUGCAUUCGAUACUGGUUAGCUAGAGUGUGGGAGAGGAUGGUAGAAUUCCAGGUGUAGCGGUGAAAUGCGUAGAGAUCUGGAGGAAUACCGAUGGCGAAGGCAGCCAUCUGGCCUAACACUGACGCUGAGGUGCGAAAGCAUGGGGAGCAAACAGGAUUAGAUACCCUGGUAGUCCAUGCCGU
rnacentral:rRNA from 1 species